UGAGUAACGCGUGGGAACGUACCUUUCACUACGGAAUAGCUCUUGGAAACGAGUGGUAAUACCGUAUACGCCCUCCGGGGGAAAGAUUUAUCGGUGAAAGAUCGGCCCGCGUUAGAUUAGCUAGUUGGUAGGGUAAUGGCCUACCAAGGCGACGAUCUAUAGCUGGUCUGAGAGGAUGAUCAGCCACACUGGGACUGAGACACGGCCCAGACUCCUACGGGAGGCAGCAGUGGGGAAUCUUGCACAAUGGGCGAAAGCCUGAUGCAGCCAUGCCGCGUGAAUGAUGAAGGCCUUAGGGUUGUAAAAUUCUUUCGCCAGGGAUGAUAAUGACAGUACCUGGUAAAGAAGCCCCGGCUAACUUCGUGCCAGCAGCCGCGGUAAUACGAAGGGGGCUAGCGUUGUUCGGAAUUACUGGGCGUAAAGCGCACGUAGGCGGACUUUUAAGUCAGAUGUGAAAUCCCGGGGCUCAACCUCGGAACUGCAUUUGAAACUGGAAGUCUAGAGACCAGGAGAGGUUAGCGGAAUACCGAGUGUAGAGGUGAAAUUCGUAGAUAUUCGGUGGAACACCAGUGGCGAAGGCGGCUAACUGGACUGGUACUGACGCUGAGGUGCGAAAGUGUGGGGAGCAAACAGGAUUAGAUACCCUGGUAGUCCACACCGUAAACGAUGAGAGCUAGUUGUUGGCAGGCAUGCCUGUCG
rnacentral:rRNA from 1 species